UAACGAAAGGUGCAUUGUAUUUAUUCGCACGUUUCCUUUGGGCCGUGGCACAUCUCAUUCCGGUUAGACAUACCUCCGAACUGCAGGGAUCGUUCCGAUUCGGCUAGCUAAUAGAAAGAAAAAUAAUCGCUCGACGCGUCUGAAACGUGCUUCUGACAAGCGUCGCUGAAAAAGAAUUAACGCCAGGCUAACGGUUAUCUUCGUCUGUUAUCUAACGACCCGACUCGCCGGUGUAGCUCAACUUAUAGCACAGUCAAACCGCGGAGUUGGAAUCGAGUCCUCGUCUCAGCGGCAACGGCCACGGCGGCGGCGGCGGUCCUUCCCUCUCGCUUCUACUUUGACCACAUUCUACCCACUGACCGCAGGUAAGCUGAUGGUGGCCGCUGUAAAAGGUAACUACACGUAAACGCAUCUUACAAAAGCAUGUACAAAAAUUACACUCGUUUUUUUUUUGUUCCCCUCCCCCUCAUUCUCGCUGGAGAACAACGCUUCAAACAUCUUACGCCUGGUCGAAAGAAGAGCGAUGAAAAUUUUCACCUUCGUUAUUGAGAAAAUACAUGAUAAUUGAAAUUGCGAUCGAGUUCGUUAAACAAUCACUUAGAUUCAUCCGAUUUUAAAAGAUCGUAAAUCUUAAUAGGCUCUUUCGCAUCGACUUUGAAAACAUGAGGCAUACGCGGAAUAUUUAGCGCGAUUUAUGCAACGAUAUAAAAUUCAGCGUACGUGUACCGGGAACCGGAAUUACCGAGCGUGACGGAUUAAGCCGAGCUGUGUGCAGCUUGAUAUAAUAAAAUUACCAUCGAAUAAAAGAGAGAAAAAAAGAACGGAACAAAACCCGAUGGCGGAGAAAAAAAAAAUUACAAAAAGAAUUUAUCGAUGAAAAAAACACCAACAAAACGAAAAAGCACAUCAUCCCGCAAAUGUAUCCGAACGAUGUAACAACACCAUCCACAAAGCAGCGACAUGAAUCGUACGUGAUCCUCCCGUCCCCGUACGGCUUUCAACAUGGUCGUGUGUGUACGGCGGGGCGGAGGGCCGGGGGGGCCGGGCCACGGUUGAAUACGGUUCUCUUAUACACAAGGCAUAUCGUGUACAUGCGACCUGCCCCAAGUGCCAAAGUGAUUUCGAUGUAAAUCACUUCAUCUUUGGGCGCAGGUAUAUUUGAUCGUACAACCGGCGCGCGGUCGCCGCUACUGCACCAGAGGCGUUUAUGGGUAUGCAUUAUACCUACGUAGAAGGAUGGAUACAUAGGUAAGUAAACUCGUGUACGUACACGUGCGCGGAUCCUUGUAUAUAUACACGUACAUACGUAUAGCGGAGGCAGUUUCUCUGCUUGGACUUAAUUACUACGAUUAGCGCCGGAGGAAGAGGUGUCUCCCCGACCUCCUCCCCUAGUGUGCGCGCGCGGUAUACAGUAUGUAGAGCCUCUGUGUCGUUUCAGAUGUAUGUACACACGACGGUGGAUAUAUAUAUAUAUAUAUAUAUAUAUAGGCACACCAACCACCCAUAUCCGUACAUAUUACAUACAGUCGUCCGACGUCAUCUCUAUACACAAGCGCCGCCGCGGACUCCCGUAGGGGUGUUCGGUAGGGAAACGGGGAAAGGGGAUCCCCGGGGGUUGAAACUGGGGCCGCCGCUGCUGCUGCUGCUGCUGGUGCUGCUGGAACUAACCGAGGGCGAGGGAAGAGAAAGAGGAAGAGGAGGAAGUGGAGUGCGAGCGAACGAGUGAACGAGCAAGCGAGUGAGAGAAUGGGCGAGUGAGUACCUUCCACCACCCCAAUUUCCAACCCCCCUUUAUUCUCCUCUUAUCCCCACCCCCGCUAAGAGUUACCAUUGGCGUAGCGAUCGAAGCCGUGGAUCUUUUUUAACCAGACACCCUGUGGAUACAUUUCUCCAAAAAAGUCGUGUAUGGUGUACGCUGCGAUGGAAAAAAGUAUGGGCAAAAUCUAGAGGUUUUUCGUCACAAAGAACGCUCGUUUUGCCAGAAGGUGAGAAUAAAAAAAAGGGCGUUGGGAAGAUGGAAGUUUUAUAUCAGGGGUGUUUUAUCAAUUUUUUGAAACACAGCGAUCCUUGUUAUUAUGUGCUGAAAAUAACGCGUUACAGAGCGUAGGUUUUCUUCGGUAUCAAAUUUAGGUAUACGCCAUUGAAAACCCAGCGGUUUCGAGUGUUGCUAGGAUACACCCUUCGCAACCCCUGACAUCCGACAAAGACGAAGAAUACGAGGUAGAAGAAGAUGGAGGCGAGCUUCCUCUUCAAUCUUCGAACACUCACUCGGUUUAACUGUGUGAGUUUGUUACACGGGGCGUAGAGUUAUACCACACCGAUUUCUCGUCUGUAUACGUUCACGACGUUCACGGUGUGGUGUAGGGUCGCCGCGAAGAAUACUCUGUCGUAGCUCGGAAAAGAUGCCUGAAGGGGCAAGGGAACAAAAAAAAAGUAGGAAAAAAAGAAGAGGAGAACGAUGAAGAACAGAGAAACGAAAAAAAAAAAAAACAGAGAGAUGAAUAAAAAGGUAAGGAAAGAGGAAUUUGGCAUCUACGAGUUGUUUAGUAGAUGCCAGCGAUCCUUGAAAUGGAUAUUUGUUCCAGUUAAUGUGACGGGUGACCGAUAUAAACGUCACGUAAAUCAGAAAAGAUUCGAAUAUAUCUCUCAUAGCUCUGAAAGUCCCUGUGAGUAUAGAUCAUUGGACGGUAUAAACUUAUAGUUUAUCCAAACUCAUCGACUGCUACUUGGAAAGAAAUUCCGUGUAACGAAUAGCGAAGAUUACCGAAGGUUUAAAAGUUUGAAAGAACAGUAAGGAAAAUCGGUAACUGUUCUUUUUUUUUGUCCAUAUUCGUGUUCUACGACUGCGGGCUUUUCAAAAUGAACAAGAAAUAGAGAAAAAAGAAGGGAAAGGAGAGCCGCAGGUUUUUCAUUUUCUUUUUUCCUCUAUACCGAUAGGAGUAGAGUGGAAGAGGUUGUACGUUAUCGAUUGUUGAAAUAAGAAAUUUUUCUCGAAAAGCCGUUUUGUCAAAGAUUGCGCAGAAAUAUCACCUACGUGUAUUCGAGGAGAUAUUGAAGUAGUAAAGAAUAAGAAACGAGGAUCGCGCGUCGUGUUUGCCGCCGAGUUAACUUUUGAUUGGAUUAUACCGACGCCCUCCUGUAGAGACCCUUCACCCCUCCUGCACAGCGGACCCAUAGCAAACCGAGCAGGUUGUCAUCCAACACGAAAUGCCGACUGGCAAAUCCAGUAGUUUCUCUUCCCUCAAAGGCGCCCACGUCUUUUGUUUCUUUUAUCUCCUUCUCUCCAUUCCCUCACCUUCCAUGUUCUUUUCUACCUUCCAUUUCCACUCCUUUUAUUCUUUUUAAACGAGUGUACGCAGCCCGCCUGGGCGAACAGGAUCGCCGAUACGUGACACCCGCCGUCGGUUGACCCUUCCUUUUU
rnacentral:lncRNA from 1 species